AUGUCACGGUAGAUACACUCACACGUAAGACUGUAACACUCCUCCCACACAUUGGGCAAGGCUUGGGGAAAUGUCAGCCACUGACAAAAAACUGGCUCUGAGCCCGCCCACAGGACAUGGAUGUACCUUUAUAACUGUGAGCGAAUUUGACCGUUUGGAUCAGGCUCGACAAGACUCCCCUCAAAACAUCUACUUGACGGAGCUCCUUCAUCUGGUGAGAUAGCUUCAACAACAUCGAGUCAUGAAUAUUGCAAUGAGCAUGCUGUGCCUGAUGCUGUUCAUCGUUCACGCACAAACACAGGAUUCAGACAAGCCUCCGCAAAAAGAAAGAAUAUUUGGUACUAUUUUAUACUUCAUCAAGCAAUGUGUGGGAUUUUUUUCUAAUAAGGCAAAAGGGUUUACCUGCCAAGUGGGAAUGGAGGAUGAGUUGAGUACAGUACGUUGUCUCCCUGAACAAGGAUCCUGUGUCACUGCAAACGUAACUGUUGGGAAUUACACAUUCACUUACAAGAGCUGUGCUUCGGACCUGGAUUGUGUCUUUAAAGAACGCAUUCGAAAAAUGGUCCUCAACGAUGUGGUAGAUGCAUUUGAGGAUACUCGUGGGUGCAUCCUAAAUGGUUAUGAAUGCAACAGCGCCCCACAUGGUGGUCCACCUCGUUCCUUGGCUCUGCUUAUCCCUCCCAUUCUAUCCCUCCUUGUAUUUUGCAGCUAAAUUUCUCGCAGGCCUAGGUACGCACAAUUACCCUACCUUUGCUGUUAAAUGUGGGACUAAUCUAUUCAAAAAGUAGUUGCUCUUAAAAUUUUCACAAGGGGUACUCAUUUUAUGUACCUCAUGAUUAUAAUGUAAUGCGUCAACCUGCCAACUAGGAUAUUAACGCAAGAUCUCUGGAUUGUUCAUCUGGAUCUCCACCACACCAUCUCUAGACUUUCAAAUAGGAGUUUUACUUUAAAAUGGUAUCAGUUAUUCACGAGGCAAAACAAUCUGCUCUGUGCAAUGCAAUACAUAGUUAAAGCAAUUAUGUAACAACAAUGUACAAUUGGGUUAGAGUAUUCAGUCCACAGCUUAAAGCUUGUAAUUUCAAUAGCAGUCAGGGGAAAGGCAUAUUCCAAAGUUUUAAACUUAUUUUUGUUUGCAAAUAACAACCAUCAAUGAAUGUGUACGUUGAUGUUACGUUAUUGCAAUCACAAUGAGUACUUUAAUCCGUGUUUAUAAUAAUCAAAUAUGCUUUUAAUUGUAACCCCCCCCCCCCCCCCAUAAACUUAUGACCAUGAUAAGCACUGAACAAUAGUGCCACACGUUCCUUUCCGCCUCUACUACAGCGCCUCUCUACUGAGGAAUGCUUUUGAUUUUACUUAACAGGAAGCUAAUUUAAAAGCUCAUAGUAAGAUUGGAUUGGUGUAGAAUGGUAGUGUAAUAGUUCACACACUGCAAUUAUGAACCUAGAGACCUGGGUCUGAUUCCCGUCCACGACUGCAAGGCACGUGGUGGUUUUUAGUGAGCAGUGGAUUUAUAAAGGAACGUUUAACUGAAUCAUGAAAAAACAAGUAAACGAUCUAUACUUUCAUCAAUUUGUAAUGCCCUUGAACAAAUGUAGUUUAUGCUGGAGUAUAUUGCAUCUAAAUUAGCUUCCACUUCCCGAGUGGAAGGAUAAAGCCCUCUCCAGUUCACCCGCUCUGCUCUUCCACGCCCGUGGUUGCUGCCACUCCCAUUGUGCAGCUUCCUUGAACCAACGAUAAGCCCAUUCAUGAACUAUGAGACAGCGUUAUGGGUUAUAUUUUUUUAUGUUAAAGUGUGUAACUAGGUGUGUAUUUGUCAUGUUAUCGCAGAUUGGGAAAACUAUGUUAAGAAAUUUCCGUAAUUUAAUUUUUUGGGAAAAUAAUGGUGGUAUGAACAUGUGUUGUUUUUGUAAUGACGUGUGAUAUUGCUGGAAAAUAUAUAAUAAAU